rnacentral:rRNA from 1 species
UCGACGGCAGCACAGCAGUAGCAAUACUGUGGGUGGCGAGUGGCGGACGGGUGAGUAAUGCAUCGGGAUCUACCCUGACGUGGGGGAUAACCUCGGGAAACCGGGACUAAUACCGCAUACGUCCUACGGGAGAAAGCGGGGGACCUUCGGGCCUCGCGCGGCAGGACGAACCGAUGUGCGAUUAGCUAGUUGGCGGGGUAAUGGCCCACCAAGGCGACGAUCGCUAGCUGGUCUGAGAGGAUGAUCAGCCACACUGGGACUGAGACACGGCCCAGACUCCUACGGGAGGCAGCAGUGGGGAAUAUUGGACAAUGGGCGCAAGCCUGAUCCAGCAAUGCCGCGUGUGUGAAGAAGGCCUUCGGGUUGUAAAGCACUUUUAUCAGGAGCGAAAUACCACGGGUUAAUACCCUAUGGGGCUGACGGUACCUGAGGAAUAAGCACCGGCUAACUUCGUGCCAGCAGCCGCGGUAAUACGUAGGGUGCAAGCGUUAAUCGGAAUUACUGGGCGUAAAGGGUGCGUAGGCGGUUACUUAAGUCUGUCGUGAAAUCCCCGGGCUCAACCUGGGAAUGGCGAUGGAUACUGGGUGGCUAGAGUGUGUCAGAGGAUGGUGGAAUUCCCGGUGUAGCGGUGAAAUGC